rnacentral:sRNA from 1 species
UAGUUCCGGUGGCGACUGCGGCGCAUGGCGGUGAGCGGUGUGGAGAAGACGCGCGGGUGGCUGGGCCUUGCAUUGUUGGCGGCUCUCGGUGACCCUCGUGCUACCCCCCUUUCUCCAGAGCGCACCCGUUAGGCGAUGAAGGCGGCACAGCGUCGAAAAAACAAAAGAAUAAGAAGAAAACCCGGAACAGGCCCUCUGUGGCAAAUGGAGGCGAGAAGGCCUCAGAGAAACUCGCCCCAGAAGAAGUUCCCCUAAGCGCUGAGGCCCAGGCACAACAGUUGGCCCAGGAAUUGGCUUGGUGUGUGGAGCAACUGGAGCUGGGCCUCAAGAGGCAGAAACCCACCCCGAAACAGAAAGAGCAGGCUAUUGGAGCAAUCCGAACCCUGCGCAGCAAAAGAACGCCCCUGCCCCGGAAGAGGCAGCUGAUGCACUCUUUGUUUGGAGACUACAGGGCUCAGAUGGAAGCCGAACGGCUUGAGGCCCUGCGGGCUGUCA